ACCUGGCUGGCUCAGUCGGAAGAGCAUGUGACUCUCGAUCUCGGGGCUGUGAGUUCGAGCCCCACGUUAUGUG
rnacentral:tRNA from 1 species